rnacentral:rRNA from 1 species
UACGUAGGCAGCGAGCGUUGUUCGGAUUUACUGGGCGUAAAGCGUGCGUAGGCGGUGUCUUAAGUUUGUUGUGAAAUCUCCCGGCUUAACCGGGAGGGUGCGGCGAAUACUGAGAUGCUGGAGUGCGGGAGAGGUAAGCGGAAUUCCUGGUGUAGCGGUGAAAUGCGUAGAUAUCAGGAGGAACACCUGUGGUGUAGACAGCUUACUGGACCAUAACUGACGCUGAGGCACGAAAGCGUGGGUAGCAAACAGG